UACGAAGGGAGCUAGCGUUGUUCGGAAUCACUGGGCGUAAAGCGCACGUAGGCGGAUGUGUCAGUCAGGGGUGAAAUCCCGGAGCUCAACUUCGGAACUGCCUUUGAUACAGCACGUCUUGAGUCCGAUAGAGGUGGGUGGAAUUCCUAGUGUAGAGGUGAAAUUCGUAGAUAUCAGGAGGAACACCGGUGGCGAAGGCGGCUUUCUGGACAGAAACUGACGCUGAGGCGCGAAAGCUAGGGGAGCAAACAGG
rnacentral:rRNA from 1 species